rnacentral:rRNA from 1 species
UCUUAUUCGCGAGAGUGGCGGACGGGUGAGUAAUGCUUGGGAAUCUGGCCUAUGGAGGGGGAUAACAACGGGAAACUGUUGCUAAUACCGCGUAGUAUCGGGAGAUGAAAGGGGGCGCAAGCUCCUGCCAUGGGAUGAGCCCAAGUGGGAUUAGGUAGUUGGUGAGGUAAUGGCUCACCAAGCCUGCGAUCUCUAGCUGGUCUGAGAGGAUGGCCAGCCACACUGGAACUGAGACACGGUCCAGACUCCUACGGGAGGCAGCAGUGGGGAAUAUUGCGCAAUGGGGGGAACCCUGACGCAGCCAUGCCGCGUGAAUGAAGAAGGCCUUCGGGUUGUAAAGUUCUUUCGGUGAUGAGGAAGGGAUGUUGGUUAAUACCCAG